GUAGGUGAACCUACGGAAGGAUCAUUACAAUAAUCACCCGGAGCGCCGCAAGGCCUCCCGGGUAACCUACCACCCUUUGUUUAUUACACUUUGUUGCUUUGGCAGGCCUGCCCUCGGGCUGCUGGCUCCGGCCGGCGAGCGCUUGCCAGAGGACCUAAACUCUGUUUGUCUAUACUGUCUGAGUACUAUAUAAUAGUUAAAACUUUCAACAACGGAUCUCUUGGUUCUG
rnacentral:misc_RNA from 1 species